rnacentral:lncRNA from 1 species
UCAGGCCAAGAAGCUCUCUUCUUCCUCUUCCGCCAUGGUUUCCAGCAGAGUGAGAGAGGAGAAGGCCAAGCAGUCAGAGGAGUCUCUGAGGACUGUCAUGUACUUGAGCUGCUGGGGACCCAACUGAAGAAGAAGAUAUGAAGAUGGAUGAUCAUCAGCCUGCUCUUGAAGCAUCCAGGGAGGGCAUAUUCCAAGAAAGUAACGGAAAAUUGAGAUGAAGAAACUGCAGUGAAGCAAUUUCAUGGAAUUUUUGCUUGGAGACUCACGAAUUACAACCAAUUGCUCAGGGUUGGGAAAAUUGGAAUUGGCGUAAAUUGUGACUGGGUCUUUGUAAAACCCACAUCAUUUAGCUAGAAAAGCUUUGAAAAUACAUUUUAAUUUAAUUUAUAAUUUCUAUGUUAGAAUAUUAGACCCAAUUCCUAAAAAGCUUGUCAGCCUUGUAUAUAUGGCUAAGCAGGUCAACUUCCCAAGCUCAAGCGCAUUAAGAAAUUCUCAAACCUACCUUUUUUUUAUAGGAUUUUUGGGAAGUUUUACAGCAAUUGAAAACAAAUCUUAAAAGGGUCGGGAAAUUAUUUGAAAAAAUAUGGCAGAUUUGGUCACAUAGGGGAUAAAGAGGUGAUAAAGUUGGUACAACGCCCAAAAUUAAACUCUCAAUUAAUUUAAUUGAACAAAUAAUCAUAAAAGAGAUUUUUUUAAUUUAUGAUUUUUAUUUUUUUAUUUAUACUUUUUGAAAAAGAAAAUUCCAGUGAAAUAUGUUCGUGUAGACUGUGUGGCAGGAUGCAGACUAAACAAAGAAAUUGACACGUGCUUGAAGUCCGGCCCUACACAUAGCCCCAUUGGAAAACAGCGGUUUCAUCCUCCGUACUCUUUGGGCGUUAAGUGGGUUCACAAACCAAACAAUGGGCUGCCCCAACACAGCAACACUUAGACUGAGGACAAACUAUGUAGGUGAAUACCCAAUUAUACCCACAUGAAUCAGUGGUCAAUCUUUCAAAUAUAAGGACAGAGUAGUCAUUCCAAUUCAAAUCAAACAAAGUUAUGAGAACUGCUGGCCACAGCCUCUGGUUUCCCCAAAACUUUGGGCACUAUUCCUCAAAGAAUCAAGUGGGCUAGAGUUAAUAACUUCGUCCACCAUGGUUAGAUUACUGGGGGCUAGAGUUAAUAACUUCAUCCACCAUGGUUAGAUUAUUGGUAUCUCGAUGGGAGAAGUUGUUUUGACGGUAAAACAUUGUAUUUUAUUAUUUUGUAAAUUUUAUCAUCACUCAUAUAUAUUAUUUUUUAUUUAAAAUUAAAUAAAAAAUUAAAAUUCUUAGAAAAUGCGAAACAAAAGUAUAUCACAACUUAUAUUAAUUAAACGUCUUUAUUUUCUAUUCUAAAAUUAAAAAACAAAAUUAAAAUUAUCAAGAAAAAAGUACAUUCCAACUUACAUUAAUCAAGGGAUGAUAUACUGUACAAAUAAAAAAUAAUAAAAAUAAUUAAAGGUUAAAUAAAUCGCUUAAUAAAUUGAUAGUAUGGGUUGAUGGUUUCAUUAUAAGACCAUAACAAGGAUUUUCUUUUUCUUUUUCUUUUUAAAUGCAUUUCACGGUGGUGUAGAAUUUUUUUGUAUAAGGGUUUUUAAAUUAUAAUAUUGAUUAUAUAUAUAGGUGUGUUUUGUCCUAAAUUCCGAUUUCCAAGUUUCCAACAUUAUAUAAAAAUCCCUAAAAUCAUCUACUUCGUAAGUUUUCUAACAUUAUAUAAAAAGCCCUGAAUUCACUUAUUAGGAAAAUGCUAUUUGGUGCACUACCAUCACCAUGACCUCAACCUCGUGUAAAGAUAUCAAGUGGUUACUAAUAAUAAAAAAUAAAUAAUAAAAACAAAAUGUAUUCAUUAUUAUUAUUAUUAUUAUUUUGUACUUUUACCAUCCAUUGUUCACAUCUUAGCAUAUGGUAGAAAAGAUGAUAAAUGAUUAUUUAUGUCAUAAUUUUUAAGUGAAGUGAUCAAAAUAUUUAAAGAAAAAAUUAAUAAUUGAUGAAUAAUUUUUGGUAAAUUUAUAAAUUUGUAAUAAAUAUUAAUAAAUGAUAAACAAAGUAGUUUUUAAAGCGGUUGUAGUAGUUAAACAUUAUAUCUCAUUAUGAUUUUCCACCUUCAAAACUUAAUAAUAAAAUUUCAUAACAAAUUUUUAUCUAUUUAAAACUUUUGAAAUGUGAAAUCUUUUCUUGGACAUCUUUAUAUAUACAUUUGUGAAUUUUCUCUUUAUUUGCUAUUUAUAAAAUUAAAGGAUAAAGUUAAAAUGUUAAAAAUAAAAGAGAAGUAUAUCCCAACUUACAUCAAUUAAGAGAAGAUAUAUUAAGCACAUGAAGAAUGCAAAAAAAAAUUAAUGAUAAAAUAAAUCACUUAUUAGUUAGUAUUUAAUGAUUUACAUUAUUAGAUUGUAGCGAUGAGUUAUAUUUUUAUUUUUGUGUAUAGGUGAUUUUAAAUUAUAAUAUUUUUUAUUUUAUUUUUGAGUUAGUUUUCUUUGUUGAUACAUAGGUUUUUUUUUUUUUUUUUGUCUUGGAUAUUGUGUUAUCUACAGUUUUAAAAGAAAUAAAAAUUAUUUAUCCCACAUUGAUUCAAAACUAAAAAUAUUAUAUAUAUAUUUGUUAAAACUUUGAUACCCUUAAAAAAUACAAGUACAACCAAUAAGCAGGCAUAGGGAUGGCAACGGGGUAGGUAUGGGACGGGCCACCCCUACCCCAUUUCCAUCCCGGUUAUAUAUUUUUUUUUCCAUCCCCGUCCCAAACCCAGGGCGGGGCGAGUUGGUGUCUCCUAUGCCCAUUUACAAAAGAGCUGAUAAUCUCAUCCCCAUCCCAAAUGUAUUUUCGGGAAUUAUGCUUUUACAGAACAUGGGUCUCUGAAAUUUCAAUAAACGUUAUAUGGGUUAUCAUAAACACAUUUAAUCAAGCAUUUGUUGUGCAACAAAACUGCAAACUGCACACAUGAGAACAAAAUGCACAGAUCUACAAAUAAACAACCCAAAAAAUCUCAAAUCCAUCAACCAAACCAGAAAAUAUGAAAAACAAGACAUUUCUAACAAAGCCUCAAAACUUAGGGUUUUCUUACCUGGAAAUGAGGAAUCCAUAGAAACCCUAAUAAUUUGUUGUCUACGAAUUUGGUAUUUUGGUUUUCAAAGCAAAAAAUGUGCUUUUAGGGUGAAACGGGAAGAAACAAUUUAGGAAUAAAUGAGAAAACGAGAAGAAAUGAGAAAACAAAAGCCCUAUUACGAGCAAAAGAACCCUGAGCAAUUUAGGAAGAAAUGAGAAAACGGGAAGAAAUGAGAAAACAAAAAGCCUCUUACGAGCAAAAGAAUCCUAAGCAAUUUAGGAAGAAAUGAGAAAACUAGAAGAAAUGAGAAUGAAAGCCCUCUGAGAGCGAAAACCCUCUAAGAGUGAAAGCCCUCUGACUCUCUCACGAGUGAAAUAACCCUAAAAUUUGAGGAAGAAAUGAUUAUAUAUGGAGGACUUUUUGGGUAUUUUGUAAUGACAUAAGGGUAAAUCGGUAAUUCACAUACGGGAUGGGGCGGAAACUGCAAAACCCAUCCCUGCCCUGAACCCGAUUUGGGUUUUUAUAUAUUCCCCAAACCCGUUCUAUACCCGAAUAAAAUAUUCCCAUACCCGUCCCAAUAGGGGCGGGUGACCCGAAUUACUCGGAAAAUUACCAUUCCUAAGCAAGCAUUGAGCUAAAUCCUAAUCUCACAUUCUUGCUCGAAACUUUACACUCAAAUAAAAACAAUUCACCACUUGACUCGAGGGACUAUUCCGUAACUUCUCACUACCAACAACCAGGCACUAUUCGACCUCUCGCUCGCUUAUAAAUUCACUCCCUACUUGCAUAUUCAAAGCGUAUCUCACUACCAUUCUACUCUACUAUUCUACUUUUCGCGGUUUCAUAUCUCACUACUAUUCGCGUGUUCAAAGUGUGCAUAUUCAAAGUGUAUCCCUCCUUGAAUUAAUUGUGAAUUAAUUUAGGCUUCAAAGUGUGUUGCUCUACAAUAUCCUUCCUAGUCAGGCUUCAAAGUAAGAGCAACAACAUCUACAAUAUCUACCAUGGCCACACAACCAAGGUAUGCGGUAUGCCGCCUUUUCUCAUGUCCUUUUCCCAUUUUGUUCCCUCUUUUCAUCUCCAUUUUGUUUUCAAUAUUCUCUUACCUUACUCAUAUUCUCUAAAAUUAGAUAAAAUUAUUAAUUUGAUCAUAUUUAUCUAACAUUUUUAAUUAGUACUACUAGUAUCUUAUUUUCAUAAAUCUAAUUGAAUUUUCUACUUAUUUAUUUAUUGUUUUCAUGACAGAACUUCACCAGCUUUCAUAUCUUUCCUUACAAUUUUGAGUUCAGUUGUCCUUGCGAAGUACCAAUAUGAGAAUGUUUCCCCAUUUUCCCAACACAACAUAGGUAUGCAAAUCUCCUUAUUUGCAUCAUUUAUAUAUUUCAUGAUGGUUGUGGUUUAUGAAAUCCUUGAUUCUGAUGGAACUGUCAAAGUUGAAGAAGAUGGAAGAUAUCUCCUUAUUUUGGGCCUGUUCGGUUCUUAAGUGGAACAGCAGCUGCAACUUUGUUGAUCCUGAUCUUGAUCCCAUAUCUUGGAUGGUUCCUUUUGGUCAUGUAGACCAUGUUCUUAGUGAAAAUAGCAUGCUAUUGGGAUAAAACAUUUUAUAACUUUGACAUGUUCAAGAAUAAAAAAAAAUGCCAAUGAUAGGGAAGGAAGACAAGAGGAGCAGCGACGCCAAGUUUAGAGUAGGUUUGGUCCAACAGAGGUUAUUAGCAAAAAACAUAUUUUCUUCUUGUACUUUCGAAAGUGUUAUAUAAGUGUUAUAUUUUGAGUAAUGAGAGUAUUUUUUUCCUUUUUUCUUUUUCUCUAAUACAUUAUUGGUGAUUAUUCUUCAUCGGAAUACCCACAAGGUUAUUAGAUGUUUAAUUGCAAAUAUGGUUUUAUAUGAUAGCAUUAUGAUUGAACUAAUAAAACAUAUUUUUUUGCAUAUUGUUUAGCUGGACUUCCCAACUACCUCUGGGUAAUAUCCUUUUAACAUAGGAAGUAUAAACUAAUAGCAAGUGCUAAUCUUUCCCAUUCUUACACAAGAAAGAACUAAGGAAAAAGGUAUACUUAGAAGUUGCAUUUCUAUGUUCCCAAACAAUAGAAAAUUCAAUAUAUGGCACUUCACUCUCUACUUUUCUUUCCCACCUUUUCUCAUAACCCAAAUAUGCUCACCUCUCAUUCCAAGAUCCAACCAAAAUUGAAAAACAAUUACAAAAAUCCUAGUAGAAGAGACAGAUCAUACUACAAUUACACUUUCUUACAAGAAAUUGAAGUGCAAAAGGAAUAACAAUUGAGUGAAACAAAUAAAACCAACCCCCUUUACCACACCUACUAAUGAAAUACUUGCAGAGACACUUUAAAUUUCUCCAGACUCCAAGAGAUACUGAUCAACAGCCUCGACACCUGCAGUGAUGAGACCAACACUUGAUACGAUAUAAUGCACAAACUCGACACGGAAUUGGUAAGACUUGGUUAGAUUACAGAAAAAUUUUCAAACAUUAUAUUUUUCUUUCCAAUCACAACAAAACAUCAAAAUAUUUUCAAAAAUAAAAAUUAGAGAUUCCCUCUUCAAAAGAAGACACCCAUGAUUCUGAAAUUGGAGCUUUUAACCCAGAAGAUCAAAGAAGACAAAGAAGAAAAAACCCAACCCCUAACCCAUUCGGAAAUAAGAGGAGAAACCAUCAAAGAAUGAGGGCAUGAGUUAGGAUUUACUUACCUGAUUUUCCUAAAAAUCGAGAAUCACCAAAGGUGGAGGUUUGGUGUCGGCGGUGGUAACUCGUCAAGUGGACUGAAUCUUACAAUGACGACGUCGGCUAGGCAACCCCCUCACAGUCAGAUUGCUCUCCCUCCGGGGUCUUGCAUAGUUGCAAAUUUGCAAUUGCAGGUGGUGUCAUCUAUCGGCGGUCUUGACAGCAACGGUGGUGUGCGAGGUGUGGGAGAUUGGGAGUCCAAAUUGGUAAAGUAACAAAUGCAUUUUAUAUGGAUUUACGUUGAUGAUAUGAGAUAGGAUUUGAUGGUAACAUAUUAAAUUAAAUUAAACGAUUGAGUCCAAAAUGAUACGGAUGGUAUGAGAUGGGAUUUAAUGAAAAAUUAAAUGUAUUUAUAUGGAAAAUUGAGAAUUAAAUCCCCAAUUCUUAGUAUUAUUAUAAAUAGGUGAAAAAAUUUUGUUUUAUUAAAUUUUUAAGCUUAUUUAAUUUCUAUAUAUUUUUUUAUAUAUAAUUUACAUAACAUUUUUAUAAUUUUUUGAAAAUUUUAAUUAUCUUAUUUUGCGUAUUGCUUGAUAUUGAAUCAAAAUGUCGAGACCAACAUAUCUCGGGAUCAUUUGAGUCAAUGAUCGAUAUCACAACUUUGAACCAUGCUCGUCUCCAAUCCCUCAACAAUGAUGAAAAAUGAGGGCAACACAAUUACCUUUUUUAUUAUUAUCAGUUCAAAAUAAUACGUGUAUUAUAAUAUAAUUUUUAAAAAAUAUUUUACAAAAAAAUAUAUGUGGACCCCGCAUUUAGGCUCAUGCACUUCCACUCGAUGGCGAGCUCGAUUUUAUUUUGAAAAUGAUUUUAUUUAUUAGAAAAUGACUUGGAGUCGCUACUUAUUUUUGUUUUAUUUUUAAAGGGUAAACAAAAUAAGAAAGAAAACCCUAAGUGUGACUCCUUAUUUUGGAAAAGGUGGUCUGUGAAAAAUGGGAUCGAGUUCGGGGGCUAGGUUACUUAUCGGGAAGGUACGGUAAAGACCGUAGCACCCCUUUAACUCCCCAAAGUCGGGUCUUUACUAAUAAAAUGAAGUUGACGCGACAAUCAAUAAUAAAAACAAUGAAUAUCGACAUGAUCACAUAUUGAAAACCAAAACAUAUAAGGAUGAUGGUUAGAGUGAGAAAAAAUGCGUACCUAAUCAGCAAGCGGCAACGCGCUAUCAUAAAAUGAGGUUAGUGCACAAAUAAUGGACAUAAAACAUAGCUCACAUGCCACUGAAUCGAGUACAAAAUCAUCAGAUAUCACAAUUAAGUCAAAUUUAUUUUUCGAGGAAACAAUCAUUGAUGUUGGGCCUCCACCAAAACCCAAUUUAUUCCUGCAUGAAUUAAUUCCGUAAAUUCCAUCACUUGGAAUUAUAGAAUUUAAUUCACACUUAUUUUUAAAACGUUUUAGAAUUCAUGGAAGUUAUGGAAAUCCAUGCCGAAGAAAAUGACAACAAAAUUUUAUUAAAAAUGUGAUUUUUGGGACUUGAAAGCUCUAAGAAUGAAGAAUCUGGAAAAUAAUGCGAAAAAAAUGAGAUUUGGAAAAAAAUAUUUUUUUAAACCAAGAAUGGUGAAAAUGAGAAGAGAAAAAAAAAGUGACACGUGGCAUAAGGGUGGCCAUGCACCAUUUCAAACAAAUCUAACCCCACUUGCUUUUAUUUGAUCCUGAUCUUGAUCCCAUAUUUUGGAUGGUUCCUUCUGGUCAUGUGGACUUCUUAGUGAAAAUAGCAUGCUAUUGGGAUAAAACAUUUUAUAACUUUGACAUGUUUAAGAAUAAAAAAAAUGUCAAUGAUAGGGAAGGAGGACAAGAGGUGUAGCGACGCCAAGUUUAGAGUAGGUUUAGUCCAAUAGAGGUUAUUAGCAAAAAAACAUAUUUUCUUCUUGUACUUUUGAAAGUGUUCUAUUUUGAAUAAUGAGAGUAUUUUUUUUCCUUUUUUUUUUCUCUAAUACAUUAUUGGUGAAUAAGUGUUCUAUUUUGAAUAAUGAGAGUAUUUUUUUUCCUUUUUUUUUUUUCUCUAAUACAUUAUUGGUGAAUAAGUGUUCUAUUUUGAAUAAUGAGAGUAUUUUUUUUUCUUUUUUUUUUCUCUAAUACAUUAUUGGUGAUUAUUCUUCGCGGAAAUACCCACAAGGCUAUUAGAUGUUUCAUUGCAAAUAUGGUUUUACAUGAUAGCAUUACGAUUGAACUAAUAAAACAUAUUUUCUACAUAUUGUUUAGCUGGACCUCCCAACUACCUCUGGAUAAUAUCCUCUUAACAUAGGAAGUAUAAACUAAUAGCAAGUGCUAAUCUUUCCCAUUCUUACACAAGAAAGAACCAAGGAAAAGGUAUACUUAGAAGUUGCAUUUUUAUGUUCCUAAACAAUAGAAAAUUCAAUAUAUGGCACUUCACUCUCUACUUUUCUUUCCCACCUUUUCUCAUAACCCAAAUAUGCUCACCUCUCAUUCCAAGAUCCAACCAAAAUUGAAAAACAAUUACUAUUACAAUUACACUUUCUUUCAAGAAAUUGAAGUGUAGAAGGUAUAAUAAUUGAGUGAAACAAAUAAAAACCAACCUCCUUUAACACACCUGCUAAUGAAAUACUUGUAGAAACACUUUAAAUUUCUCCAGACUCCAAGAGAUACUGAUCAACAGCCUCGGCACCUACAGCAAUGAGACCAACACCUGAUACGAUAUAAUGCACAAACUUGGCAUGGAAUCGGUAAGACUCGGUUAGAUUAUAGAAAAAUUUUCAAACAUUCUCUUUUUCUUUCCAAUCAUAAUAAAACAUCAUAAUAUUUUCAAAAAUAAAAAUCAGAGAUUCCUCUUUCAAAAGCAAACACCCAUGAUUCUGAAAUUGGAGCUUUCAACCCAGAAGAUCAAAGAAGACGAAGAAGAAAAAACCCAACCCUUAACUCGUUCGGAAAUCAGAGGAGAAACCACCGAAGGAUGAGGGCAAGAUUUAGGAUUUACUUACCGAUUUUCCUAAAAAUCAAGAAUCAUCAGAGGGUGGAGGUUUGGUGUCGGCGGUGGUAACUCGUCAAGUGGACUGAAUCUUACAACGGCGAGGUCGGCUAGGCAACCCCCUCACAGUCAGAUUGCUCCCCCUCUAGGGUCUUGCAUAGUUGCAAAUUUGCAAUUGCAGGUGGUGUCAUCUAUCGGCGGUCUUGACAACAACGGUGGUGUGCGAGGUGUGGGAGAUUGGGAGCCCAAAUUGGUAAAGUAAAAAAUGCAUUUUAUAUGGAUUUACAUUGAUGAUAUGAGAUAGGAUUUGAUGGUAACAUAUUAAAUUAAAUUAAAUGAUUGAGUCCAAAAUGAUAUGGAUGGUAUGAGAUGGGAUUUAAUGAAAAAUUAAAUGUAUUUAUAUGACAGAUUAAGAAUUAAAUCCCCAAUUCUUAGUAUUAUUAUAAAUAGGUGAAAUUUUUUUGUUUUAUUAAAAUUUUAAGCUUAUUUAAUUUCUAUAUAUAAUUUACGUAAUAUUUUUAUAAUUUUUUGAAAUUUCUAAUUAUCUUAUUUUGCGUAUUACUUGAUACCGAAUCAAGAUGUCAAGACCAGCAUAUCUCGGGAUCAUCUGAAUCAAUGAUCGAUAUCGCGACAUUGAACCAUACUCAUCUCCAAUCCCUCAAUAGUGAUGAAAAAUGAGGCCAACGCAGUUGCCUUUUUUAUUAUUAUAAGUUAAAAAUAGUCAUGUAUUAUAAUAUAAUUUUAAAAAAAUAUUUUUACAAAAAAAAUACAAUAAAGAAAAUUUUAAAUAAAAGAGUUUACAAUAACUUUCUAUAUUAAUAAAUUAAUAAUGAAUCUAUAUCCAUGUAUUAUCGAGAAUAAAUAAGUUUAUAUUUAUAUAUUUUUAUUAUAAAUUUAUAUUGACACAUAUCCUUGAUUUCCCUCAAGGUUUUAUUUUUAAUUGAUUACAAAGCAUUAGUACUUGUUUAAUAAAAAAUGUAUUAAAUAAAUAUUAAUAUUAUAUAAAUAAAUAAAAGUUGAAUUUGAAUAAAACUUAUAUAUAUAUAUCAUAUUCAACAUGAAUAUGAAUCUAUUAUUAAAGAUACAUGGUAAUAAGUGUUAAUAUUAUAUAAUCAAAUGAGAGAGUACAAAAAUGUUCUAUUAUUAUAAUAAUAAGAUAUUUAAUAUCAUGCAAAUAAAUAAAAGUCACCAUAAAUUUAAAUUUGAAUUUAUAUUUUUAAACCCUUCAAAUUUUUAUUUUUAUUUUUAAAUUUUAAGAAUUUUUUCUCCACUUCAAAUAGCAAUAAUAGUGUUUAUUCAUACUAGUUAUACUUAAAAUUGAUGAAAAUUAUGAAAAAAAAAAAAGAAAUAAAAACCCAUACCCUUCAAAUUUGCAUUUGUUUUAAUUUUAAGAUUUUUUUUCUCUACUUCAAGUAAUAAUAAUAAUAAUGUUUAUUCAUACUAAUAACAAUAAAAUUAAUGAAAAUGAUGAAAAAUAAAAAAUAAAUAGUAAAAACUUCAAAUUUGUAAUAAUAAUAAUGUUUAUUCAUACUAAUAAACAAUUCUUCAUAAUCAUAACCUACUAAUUUCCAACAAUUAUAAUUGAAAUUAUUUUGAAUAAACAAUGUAAUUUGUAUUUGAAGUUGAAAAAAAUUGUGAAAAUUAAAUGGGAAGGGUAGGGUUUUAAUUUUAUUUUAUUUUUUUUACUUUUUACCUCAUAAAUUUUUUAUUUUUUUAUUUUUAUUUAUUUAUGAAUUCUAAGUGAAAUUAUUAUGAAUCAACAAUUUUAUUGAUAUUUAAAGUUAAAAAAAAUCUAUGAAUUUUAAAUAAAUUUUGGAAGGUAUUUGUAAUGGGGUAUUUUUAUUUGCACUUUCCUAUUAUGUUGAAACAUUGUUUGGUUUCAAAAUUGUUUAUUCAAAAUAAUUUCAAUUAUUAUUAUUGGAAAUUAGGAGGUUAUGAUUAUGAAGAAUUGUUUAUUAGUAUGAAUAAACAUUAUUAUUAUUAUUAUUAUUAUUAUUAUUAUUAUUUGAAGUAGAGAAAAAAUUCAUAAUGCAUAGGGAGAUCACAGAUUCUAUGGAUUCAACAAUUGAUAAGCCUACUUGUUUAUAUUAUUGUCCUUAACCAGCUAUCCCAUUUUUUAAUUUACUUUUGGUGCAUUUAGUUUGUAACUUAUCUUAUGUUUUACUUAUUUUCAAUUUUUUAAGGUUUAGAUAGUUUUUUUUUUCUAAAAAAAAAAAAAAACCUCUUUUGAGCCAUAACUUGAUUCUCUUGCUAUUCUUAUUUUUAACCAUUUUUUCAAUGAGAAAUUAGGUCUUUUGGCGGAAUUGUGGGAAGUGGAUUGAAUCGGGAAAUUUAUUUGGUCCAGAUUGUGUUUCACUAGAGUCCUAAGAGAUGCAGCUAAGUGAGCUUAUAAUAAAAAGGUAGGCAUGUAAACGAACCAUGCUAGUCCGGGCCAUUCUUAGCUUGGCCUAGUGGGCCUUCAAAAUUGCUCCAACAUGAAUUUCAACGUGAACUUCAGUUUUUAAAAUUAAUAAUUAUACAUUUGUUUUAACUAUUUAUAACAAAUAUUAUCUUUGAAAAGUAAAUUUCAAUUAAUUUUUAUAUUUAAAUAAAAAUUAUUAUUAUUUUAAUUAUUUGUAUCCAAAUCAUACCCGAUAUAUUUGAUUUAUCUUACAAUGUUUCAACAUAAUAGGAAAGUGCAAAUAAAAAUACCCCAUUACAAAUACCUUCCAAAAUUUAUUUAAAAUUCACAUAUAUAUAUAUAUAUAUAUAUAUAUAUAUAUAUAUGAAUUUUAAAUAUCAAUAAAAUUGUUGAUUCAUAAUAAUUUCACUUAGAAUUCAUAAAAAAAAUAUGAGGAAAAAAAAUUAAAAUAAAAAAUUUUAAGAUCCCUACCCUUCCCAUUUAAUUUUAACAAUUUUUUUUUCUGAGCAUUGAUUUGUUGAUCGGUUAUUAAGGGCCACUCAUUUGCUUUGUUGGAUCUAACUCUCUGUAUGCAUGCUCUGUUUUGGCUUUGUUUUUUUUUUUUUUUUUUUAUCUUUGCUUUCUCUUGUAAAUAUCUGAUGCAUUGUUCCUUCUCUGAACUUGAGAUAUAAAAAUCAUGCUCUUGUUCCUUGUGGAUUCCACCUUCUCCUAGCUCUUUGACAAUCCAUGAAAUAGAGCUAAGUUCAUACUUUAUUUUUAUGUUUUUAUUCUUUUUUGUUUGUUGUUGAUGGUGGGAUGAUAUUAUCAAUGGCCAAGUUGCUAGGAUUAGAGGAGUGAGGUUAUGGGGAAGUGAACUUAAUGGAGGAUUUCCGUGAUCAUAUCCAUGCUCCAAUAUAUUGGUUCCCAAUGUUGGCCACGGGACUGUAUUGAAGUUUUGGUAUUUGGGAUCACUUUGCCUUCUGGGUUCAGUAAGCAACACAGUGGCAAUAAAGAUGCUUUGGUGUUAUUAAUUUGGGUGAAUAAGUUGGUUGUAUGAAUUGUGAAAGUUCAGGUUGUGCUUUGAGGAGAGUAUAUCUUGCAUCCUACUAUUUUAAUUAUUAAUUUUGGAUGUUGAAAUAUGAUGUGAUUGCACUUCAUAUGCAUCAUAGUUGUGUGAAGAAAAAGAAAGAUUAAAGAACUGGUUGUGUGAAAUGGAAAUAAGAAUGGAAAAACCUUGGAGAUGGCAAAAAUGAAAAGAAAAGAAAAAAAAAAAAAAUGCAAUGACCCUAGAGAGAGCGAAUUAAGAAGGGAGUGAAAUCCCUAGGGUGAAAGACCCAAAAGUUUACUUCGGGAAGACUUCGAAUGAGGAGUAUAUUUAGGUACAGACGUGUAUCCUUUGGUGAAAGCCCGAGAAUGACAGUGCAUUGUGUGAUUGUGAGAUUGUGUGUAAGCAUUUGCAUCAUAAUUGCAUUUGGAAGAAGGAUUUGUAUUAUUUAUCAAGUGUAUAUUUGAAUAUAUUAUUCAAAACUAAAAUGACUUGUUUAUUUUGUAAAUUUAGAAUUGUUAAUAUACUAAACAUGAUUGAAUAAGGAAAAUGAUAAUUUUGAUUGUUUUAAAUUUGUAUGGUUAGGGUUUCUUUCAGUGUAUAUAUUGUAAAUGUAAUAUUAUAUCUUGGCAUAUGGUUGUGUUAUUGACCUAGAAUUUCUAACCUAUUUGGGUGUAAAACAUCCUACUGAGCAACGUGGAAAUGCUCACCCUUUUAUUUUUUAAAAUUUUUAGAUGUAAAUAUAGUUUUAGAGGGACCACAAAAAGUUCAAGAAGCGUUUUAGAAAGCAAAAGAACCAUAAUAAGAGUUGUUUUUAAAUUUAUAUUUCUCUUCUUAUACGUACCAAUUUGAGUUAUAUGGGCUUUUGUAUGUUAAAUUAUAUUUGUUAGGUUGUAAAAUAUUUUUGGAAAUAUCCUUUUUGAUUUAGAGAUUAUUGUAAAUAUUUGUGUUUUUGGGCAGGAAGAUGACUAAUGGAUUUAUUAUACUUGUGAAUAAGAGAUAAUGUGAUGGUUGGUUUUAAAAAAAUAAAAUAAUAUGUUAUAAUAAAUCUUAGUUUAAUAAGUUUAUUUAAGAUUACACGUUUUACUAUAAAAAAAAUAAAAAAUUUCAAAGUGUUUUGAUUGAUUGACAACGUAGAUAAGAAUUACCCGGAUCAAACUCUUGACCUGGGCCAACUAUGUUGGUGAAUACCCAAUUAUACCCACAUGAAUCAGCCGUCAAUCUUACAAAUCCAAGGGCAAAGUAGUCAUUCCAAUUCAAACCAAAAAAAGCCAUGAUUCAUGAAAACUGCUGGCCACAGCUCCUGGUUUUUGCCAAACUUUGGGCACCAAAUCCAAACCCAUCUCUUUGCUAUAUAACCAACCCACCUUCACUUCUUCAUCACAACACAACUACCUUGAUUUACAGAGAGAUCUUCUAUAUCCAUUCACUACUCAGAAUCACCUCUUUUUUUUGUUGAUUGUUGUUUGGGUUUUGGAGAAAGAAAAUUAAGAAGAUGAGUCAUAUGGGGAAAGCUUGGAUAGUGGCAGCAAGUGUGGGAGCAGUGGAGGCACUCAAGGAUCAGGGCUUCUGCAGAUGGAACUACACUCUGAGGUCUAUUCACCAGCAUGCCAAGACCAACCUCAGGUCCUUUACUCAGGCCAAGAAGCUCUCUUCUUCCUCUUCUGCCAUGGUUUCCAGUAGAGUGAGAGACGAGAAGGCCAAGCAGUCAGAGGAGUCUCUGAGGACUGUCAUGUACUUGAGCUGCUGGGGACCCAACUGAAGAAGAAGAUAUGAAGAUGGAUGAUCAUCAGCCUGCUCUUGAAGCAACCAGGGAGGGCAUAUUCCAAGAAACUUAUGGAAAAUUGAGAUGAAGAAACUGCAGUGAAGCAAUUUUCUUGGAAUUUUUGCUUGGAGACUCACGAAUUACAACCAAUUGCUCAGGGUUGGGAAAAUUGGAAUUGCUGUGAAUUGUGACUGGGUCUUUGUAAAACCCACAUCAUUUAGCUAGAAAAGCUUUGAAAAUACAUUUUUAUUUAAUUUAUAAUUUCUAUGUUAGAAUAUUAGACCUGAUUCCUAAAAAGCUUAUCAGCCUUGUAUUAGACCCAAGCUCAAGCGCAUUAAGAAAAAAUAUGGCAGAUUUUGUCAUAUAGGGGAUAAAGAGGUGAUAAAGUAGAUACAACUCCCAAAAUUAAACUCUCAAUUAAUUUAAUUGAACAAAUAAUCAUAAAAGAGAUUUUUUAAAUUUAUGAUUUUAUUUUUUAAUUUAUACUAUUUGAAAAAGAAAAUUUCAGUGAAAUAUGUUCGUGUAGACUGUGUGGUAGGGUGCAGACUAAACAAAGAAAUGGACACGUGCUUGAAAUCCGGCCCUACACAUUGGCCCUUUGGAAAACAGCGGUUUCAUCCUCCGUACUUUUUGGGCGUUAAGUGGGUUCACAAACCAAACAAUGGGCUGCUAACACUUACACUGAGGACAAGCUAUGUAGGUGAAUACCCAAUUAUAAUACCCACAUGAAUCAGUGGUCAAUCUUACAAAUCUAAGGACAAAGUAGUCAUUCCAAUUCAAACCAAACAAAGAUAUGAAAACUGCUGGCUACAGCCUCUGGUUUUCCCCAAAACUUUGGGCACCAAACCCAUACCCAUCUCUUGCUAUAUAACCAACCCACCUUCAGUUCAUCUUCCUCAUAACAACACAAAACACUUGAUUUAUAGAGAGAUCUUCAAUAUACCAUUCACUACUCAGAAUCAGUUCUUUUACUGUUGAUUUCUGUUUGAGUUUUGGAGAAAGAAAAUUAAGAAGAUGAGUUAUAUGGGGAAAGCUUGGAUAGUGACAGCGAGUGUGGGAGCAGUGGAGGCACUCAAGGACCAGGGCUUCUGCAGAUGGAACUAUGCUAUGAGGUCUAUUCACCAGCACGCCAGGAACAAGCUCAGGUCUUGUUCUCAGGCCCAGAAACUCUCUUCUUCCUCUUCCGCCAUGGCUUCUAGCAGAGUGAGAGAGGAGAAGGCCAAGCAGUCAGAGGAGUCUCUGAGGACUGUCAUGUACUUGAGCUGCUGGGGACCCAACUGAGGAAGAAGCUAUAUAUAUAUAUAUAUAUAUGAAGGUUUUGAUCGUCCUACUAGUGAUGAAGACAGUGGAGGGGAGAGAUUGAUUUCAUGGAAUUUUUGUACAAAGACAUAUACAUGAGGGUGGAAUUGCUGUAAAUUGUAUAGUUUAUUGACGAUGGCUCUAUGAAAUA